rnacentral:sRNA from 1 species
GGCAGCUUCUGAGAGCCUGGGCAGGCAGCAGCUGGCUGACCAAGUCCACUGGAAGAGAAGGCUUGUGCCAGCCGGGAGAAGGAAGCCGGGGACAGGAUGAAAGCAACAACACCUUUACAGACAGUCGACCGGCCCAAGGACUGGUACAAGACGAUGUUUAAGCAAAUUCACAUGGUGCACAAGCCGGAUGAUGACACAGACAUGUAUAAUACUCCUUAUACAUACAAUGCAGGUCUGUACAACCCACCCUACAGUGCUCAGUCACACCCUGCUGCAAAGACCCAAACCUACAGACCUCUUUCCAAAAGCCACUCUGACAACAGCCCCAAUGCCUUUAAGGAUGUGUCCUCCCCAGUGCCUCCCCCACAUGUUCCACCUCCAGUCCCACCGCUUCGACCAAGAGAUCGGUCUUCAACAGAAAAGCAUGACUGGGAUCCUCCAGACAGAAAAGUGGACACAAGAAAAUUUCGGUCUGAGCCAAGGAGUAUUUUUGAAUAUGAACCUGGCAAGUCAUCAAUUCUUCAGCAUGAAAGACCAGUAAGCACUUGUCAUUAAACAGAAUAUGCCAGCUCGCUGGGCUCCCAGGGCUCCCCAAUAAACCUGAAUUUCAGACCCAUUAGCAAUUUUUGUCACAAAGGUAAUCACUUAGAAAUCAUGUUUAUUUUGUAUCAUGAUUUGUACAUCUCAUCUCAGAAUUGAAAGAUACAUGUUCUAAUAUAUUGUCUUUACUGACCAAAUACAAGUGUGUGUGUGUGUGUGUGUGUGUAUUUAUAUAUAUAUACACACACACACAUGCAGGUGUAUAUACAUACACAUAUAUACACAUGUGUAUACACACACACAUAUAUAUAUUUAUAUGCAAGAUUCAUUUGCAUGUAACUAUAACUGUGCCUAAUCAUUAAUCAGAGUUUAACUUUUAAAAAAGUUCAUAAAUGCAAUACUUAAUUGCUAUCAUAGCUUGCUAAUGAGAAAAAUCAUUAAUUAAUCUCCCCAAUAUACAUGGACCCAGGCAGUUCUAUCCCUUGUUUU